UUGUAUGCGAUGAUUACUUGAAUUUCUUCACCUGACAGAUGUUGAUGUUUUUAGCUUUUUAACCCUGAGCUAC